UACUUAAGUUUUGCGCAAGAUUGUGAACAGGUUCACUUGGUUGUGAAAAGGAGCUGUCUCCCACUUCAUGCCCAUCCAUGCCCUGUUACUCAGCGUUUUUUUUUAUUCUCUGCACGGUGACAGGGCUGAGAUGUGUUAUAGUUUAUGGAUUAGCAAAGGCCUGAUGCGUUAACAUGAAUUAAAGUUAAAUGAACUAAAUUCAAAUAAUGUGAACUUUGAAUCAAGUGGAUUUCCACCUAUGUCUUUUAUUCCUAAUUUAUCUUCCUCAUUCAUUAAGGGCAUAACUUUGGAAAUAAUGUUGCACCAGGGACACGCAAGUGCCGUGCCAACCUACUGUAGACCUUAAGCUAUGUAUCUGCUUUUUUUCUAUUUUGACAAACCAGUGUGUUUAUUAUAAGGAUGGAUAUUAAUUACUUUUGUUUCAUGUUUGUGUCUUUGCAGACCAUGGCUGCUCCAGUAAUAAUUUGUAUUGCAAUCGCUGCCAGUGGGACAACCUUGUGCACUGUGCAGAAUGUGCCAGAAUCCCAUCUGAACCACCCAGAGUGUGAGCAGGACUGGAGCACUGUGCCGGACAACAAAAGCAUUGGACAAUACCCAGAAAAAAACUUCAUGGACCCUGGCAUCAAUGUUACACGGAACAGUUUGGUCACGAAGAGACCAGUGAAUCUGUUAUGGUCUAUCUCUUGUUCCGGCAAAUAUUCGGACAAAUAUCGAGCAUCAUAUGUGGUCCCUGCCUCACCAGGUGGAAGCGCUUCACAGACUAAUUCCAAUACAUCUGGUAGGAGCACACAUACUAUUUACAUUGCUUACAUAUUUUUCCUUUCCCUAAUUUGACUGUCCAUCAAACCCACUCUUACCUGGUAAAGACAUCUGCUACCUGUCAAUUUCAUAUGUAACCUGUACCAACUAACACCAACUGAGUUUCAACAGUGGGGUGUUCUCUCUUGGCAGCUUCUCCAUCACAUCAAAUUGUUUGUUAAAGCAAUUUAAAAAACUCAGCUACUAAUCCUCAAAUGCCUUCAAUCUUGGACAUUAUUAGAUAUUUAACUGAACCAUGCACAGGUGUGUCUAGUAAGCCUCAACUGCUUGCAUCCUUUGGGGUGUUGUUGUCUUGUUAGCCUACCAUUUCUGGCUGCACAGCUAUUUCUGCACAACACCCUGCAAGCUGUUCCAGGUCAGGAGACCC
rnacentral:lncRNA from 1 species